rnacentral:rRNA from 1 species
CCUGCCUUUAAGACGAGAAUAACAAUUGGAAACAGUUGCUAAGGCUGGAUAGGAAAUAAAAAGGCAUCUUUUUAUUUUUAAAAGACCUUUUUCGGAAGGUAUGCUUAAAGAGGGGCUUGCGUCACAUUAGUUAGUUGGUAGGGUAAAGGCCUACCAAGACGAUGAUGUGUAGCUGGACUGAGAGGUUGAACAGCCACAUUGGGACUGAGACACGGCCCAAACUCCUACGGGAGGCAGCAGUAGGGAAUUUUCGGCAAUGGAGGAAACUCUGACCGAGCAACGCCGCGUGAACGACGAAGUACUUCGGUAUGUAAAGUUCUUUUAUUGAAGAAGAAACAAUAGUGGAAAAACUAUCUUGACGUUAUUCAAUGAAUAAGCCCCGGCUAACUAUGUGCCAGCAGCCGCGGUAAUACAUAGGGGGCGAGCGUUAUCCGGAAUUAUUGGGCGUAAAGGGUGCGUAGGCGGUUUAAUAAGUCUCUAGUUUAAUUUCAACGCUUAACGUUGUCCUGCUAGAGAAACUGUUUAACUAGAGUGAGAUAGAGGUAAGCGGAAUUCCAUGUGUAGCGGUAAAAUGUGUAAAUAUAUGGAGGAACACCAGAGGCGUAGGCGGCUUACUGGGUCUUUACUGACGCUGAUGCACGAAAGCGUGGGGAGCAAACAGGAUUAGAUACCCUGGUAGUCCACGCCGUAAACUAUGAGUACUAAGUGUCGGGGUUAAACUCGGUACUGAAGUUAACACAUUAAGUACUCCGCCUGAGUAGUACGUACGCAAGUAUGAAACUUAAAGGAAUUGACGGGAUCCCGCACAAGCGGUGGAUCAUGUUGUUUAAUUCGAAGAUACACGAAAAACCUUACCAGGUCUUGACAUACUCUGCAAAGCUAUAGAAAUAUAGUGGAGGUUAUCAGGGAUACAGGUGGUGCAUGGUUGUCGUCAGCUCGUGUCGUGAGAUGUUAGGUUAAGUUCUAAAACGAGCGCAACCCCUGUCGUUAAUUGCCAGCACGUUAUGGUGGGGACUUUAGCGAGACUGCCAAUGAAAAAUUGGAGGAAGGUGGGGAUUACGUCAAAUCAUCAUGCCCCUUAUGAUCUGGGCUACAAACGUGAUACAAUGGCUAUUACAAAGAGUAGCUGAAACGCGAGUUUUCGGCAAAUCUCAAAAAAAUAGUCUCAGUUCGGAUUGAAGUCUGCAACUCGACUUCAUGAAGUUGGAAUCGCUAGUAAUCGCGAAUCAGCAUGUCGCGGUGAAUACGUUCUCGGGGUUUGUACACACCGCCCGUCAAACCACGAAAGUGGACAAUACCCGGAAACGACAGCCUAACUGCGUAAGCAGAGGGAAUCGUCUAAGGUAGGGUCGAUGAUUGGGGUUAAGUCGUAACAAGGUAUCCCUACCGGAAGGUGGGGAUGGAUCACCUCUUUCU